AUGUGGGGCGAGCCUGCUCGCGAUAGCGGUGUGUCAGUCGACAUAACUAGUGACUGGCACACUGCUAUCGCGAGCAGGCUCGCUCCCACA
rnacentral:misc_RNA from 1 species